UACGUAGGGGGCAAGCGUUGUCCGGAAUCAUUGGGCGUAAAGCGCGUGUAGGCGGCUUGGUAAGUCUGCUCUGAAAGCCCGGGGCUCAACCCCGGGAGGCGGGUGGAUACUGUCAAGCUCGAGUCCGGAAGAGGAGUGUGGAAUUCCUGGUGUAGCGGUGAAAUGCGCAGAUAUCGCUUGGAACGCCAAAGGUGAAAACAGGUUGCUGGGAAUGUGCCGACGCUGAGACACGAAAGCCAGGGGAGCAAACAGG
rnacentral:rRNA from 1 species